AGGUGUGAAAUCUAAAGGUCCA
rnacentral:siRNA from 1 species